AUUGAACGCUGGCGGCAGGCCUAACACAUGCAAGUCGAACGAGUGGCGGACGGGUGAGUAAUGUCUGGGAAACUGCCUGAUGGAGGGGGAUAACUACUGGAAACGGUAGCUAAUACCGCAUACCAUCGGAUGUGCCCAGAUGGGAUUAGCUUGUUGGUGGGGUAACGGCUCACCAAGGCGACGAUCCCUAGCUGGUCUGAGAGGAUGACCAGCACAACUGGAACUGAGAACCGGUCCAGACUCCGUCGGGAGGCAGCAGUGGGGAAUAUGGCACAAUGGGCGCAAGCCUGAUGCAGCCAUGCCGCGUGUAUGAAGAAGGCCUUCGGGUUGUAAAGUACUUUCAUCGGGGAGGCGUUACCCGCAGAAGAAGCACCGGCUAACUACGGGCCAGCAGCCGCGGUAAUUC
rnacentral:rRNA from 1 species